rnacentral:lncRNA from 1 species
CCGAGCCGCUGGACUUCACCACGUCCGGCGGGGUCAAGGAGGAGGACUCUGAGGAGGUGUGCUACGAGGAUGAGUAUGUGGUGCGGUCCUACAGCUCGUCUGACUUGGACGAGGAUGACCAGGAUGUGCUGGAGGACAGACGGUAUCCAGGAGAGGUGACCAGCUCCUGCUUCAAACUCAAGCUGCAGAGCAAGGACAGCCGCAAGGAGUCUCUGGCAUGUCCCACUCCAGGCUGCGACGGGAGCGGACACAUCACAG